CACGUAGGCACCAAGCGUUGUCCGGAUUUAUUGGGCGUAAAGAGCUCGUAGGCGGUUCGGUAAGUCGGGUGUGAAAACUCUGGGCUCAACCCAGAGCCGCCACCCGAUACUGCUGUGACUUGAGUGCGGUAGGGGAGCGGGGAAUUCCUGGUGUAGCGGUGAAAUGCGCAGAUAUCAGGAAGAACACCAAUGGCGAAAGCAGCUCUCUGGGACGGUACUGACGCUGAGACGCGAAAGCGUGGGGGAGCGAACAGG
rnacentral:rRNA from 1 species